AUUGAACGCUAGCGGGAUGCCUUACACAUGCAAGUCGAACGGCAGCGCGGACUUCGGUCUGGCGGCGAGUGGCGAACGGGUGAGUAAUGUAUCGGAACGUGCCCAGUAGCGGGGGAUAACUACUCGAAAGAGUAGCUAAUACCGCAUACGCCCUACGGGGAAAGGGGGGAGUCGCAAGACCUCUCACUAUUGGAGCGGCCGAUAUCGGAUUAGCUAGUUGGUGAGGUAAAGGCUCACCAAGGCGACGAUCCGUAGCUGGUUUGAGAGGACGACCAGCCACACUGGGACUGAGACACGGCCCAGACUCCUACGGGAGGCAGCAGU
rnacentral:rRNA from 1 species